rnacentral:rRNA from 1 species
UACGUAGGGUGCGAGCGUUGUCCGGAAUUAUUGGGCGUAAAGAGCUCGUAGGCGGUCUGUCGCGUCGGUCGUGAAAACUUGGGGCUUAACCCUGAGCUUGCGGUCGAUACGGGCAUGACUGGAGUUCGGUAGGGGAGACUGGAAUUCCUGGUGUAGCGGUGAAAUGCGUAGAGAUCAGGAAGAACACCGGUGGCGAAGGCGCUCUGCUAGGCCGCAACUGACACUGAGGGACGAAAGCUAGGGGAGCGAACGGG